GGAAACUUGCUGAACGCACCACGGGAUUUAAAGCGGUGGAUGCCGGUGCCAAUUAGGAUGAGCCAAGUGCCUGCAGCUGGAGUCCCAAAGCCCAGCUCUGCCUCCAGGCCUGUCCCUCUCGCUGGUUCAGCUCUGAACCGACGUCUGAGAAGGAUGAACGUCUGCCCAGGGAUGAGGGGUUAAAGACUGUCGACGUGUUAGGUUGGCGCAGGCUCUGAGCAACCACCGGGAUCCGUUGCCCCUUAGUGUGUGACAUGUAGACAGUCGCUGGCCGGGAAGAGGAGUGUUGCUUACCCUGUCUGCCUGCCCUCUGUCACCUCCAAGUGUAUACACACACAGAGACCUGAAACUACGAAUCAGCAACCCAGAUGGUGGCUUUUAACAUUUAGGAAGCGAAUCGAAGCUUCAUUAAAGCAGUAUCUUUGCACUGUGCCAGGCCCAAUGCCCCCUCAUCGGGAAUAAAUCAUCAGCAUUGCUGCCCGGGAAGUCCAACGAAGGACCAGGAGUUCCCUGGCUUUGCUUUCUUCUCAGAAAAAAUGCUCUCCUUGCUUUACCCCACUUUCUCCCCACUCUCUCCCAACUCUCCUGGAAUAAUUGGCCUUAAUUAGCAGCAUUUCCCCACCCCUGAGCCCAUCAGGAUGACAAGAAAUGUCCAGCUGGCUGAAUCUCGCCCCCGCCUGACCAUUAAAUUGGAAAACAGUUGUAUUUUUA